rnacentral:misc_RNA from 1 species
AAAGUCGUAACAAGGUUUCCGUAGGUGAACCUGCGGAAGGAUCAUUAAAUAUGCGAAAGCAUAAGCUCGCGGGAGACCGCUGAGUACCACCCUUUGUGAACCUUUAUUUUUUUGCUUCGGCAGCACGCAUGCCCCUCGCGGGACAGGCGGUCAGGCUGCCGACAGCCCAUACAUAAACUAUUUAAACCUUGCAGUCUGAAUACUGAUAAAUUUAAAAGUUAAAACUUUCAGCAACGGAUCUCUUGGUUCUC